CAUUGUUCCACUUCCACACACCACCAUCAUCAUCAUCAUAAAGUUGUGGUCUCUCUUCACUCUUCACUCUAAACUUCAAAAUCUUCUCUCUAUUUAGUUAUGACUGUUGGAAUCUCUGCCUCUAUAGCUAUGAAGCCUCUCCGUCUCCACCACCCCUUUUUCCAUCUCCACACUAAGCCAACACCAACCAUGUUCUUCAACCCCUUAAGACCUUUUACUCA
rnacentral:lncRNA from 1 species